rnacentral:tRNA from 1 species
UGCGGAUAUGGCGGAAUUGGCAGACGCGUAUGGUUCAGGUCCAUAUGAGAGCAAUCUCUUGCAGGUUCAAGUCCUGUUAUCCGCAA